AAUAUUGGACAAUGGGGGCAACCCUGAUCCAGCCAUGCCGCGUGAGUGAUGAAGGCCCUAGGGUUGUAAAGCUCUUUCACCGGUGAAGAUAAGGACGGUAUCCGGAGAAGAAGCCCCGGCUAACUUCGUGCCAGCAGCCGCGGUAAUACGAAGGGGGCUAGCGUUGUCCGGAUUUACUGGGCGUAAAGCGCACGUAGGCGGAUUGGUAAGUUAGGGGUGAAAUCCCAGAGCUCAACUCUGGAACUGCCGUUAAUACUGCCAAUCUUGAGUAUGGAAGAGGUAAGUGGAAUUGCGAGUGUAGAGGUGAAAUUCGUAGAUAUUCGCAGGAACACCAGUGGCGAAGGCGGCUUACUGGUCCAUUACUGACGCUGAGGUGCGAAAGCGUGGGGAGCAAACA
rnacentral:rRNA from 1 species